rnacentral:rRNA from 1 species
UACAGAGGGUGCGAGCGUUAAUCGGAAUUACUGGGCGUAAAGCGUGCGUAGACGGUUUCGUAAGUCGGGUGUGAAAUCCCCGGGCUCAACCUGGGAAUUGCAUUCGAAACUGCGAGGCUAGGGUACGGAAGAGGGAAGCGGAAUUUCUGGUGUAGCGGUGUAAUGCGUAGAUAUCAGAAGGAACAUCAGUGGCGAAAGCGGCUUCCUGGUCCAGUACCGACGUUCAGGCACGAAAGCGUGGGGAGCAAACAGG